rnacentral:rRNA from 1 species
CCCUUAGAUGUCCUGGGCUGCACGCGCGCUACACUGGAAGUUACGGAUUGAGAUACUACCUUGUCCGAAAUGGUCCGGGUAAUCACCUAAAAGCUUGUCAUAAUUGGAAUGGAUUAUUGUAACUAGUAAUCCUGAACGAGGAAUUCCUAGUAAGUCCCAGUCAACAGCUGGUACUGAUUACGUCCCUGCCCUUUGUACACACCGCCCGUCGCUACUACUGAUUGGACGUUUAAGCAAGAUUUUUAAACACUGACAGUGUGUAGUUCACGCUAUACUACAGUGAGAAGAAGAAGAUCGAGCUUACUUGUCGAGAGGAAGUAAAAGGCGUAACA